rnacentral:rRNA from 1 species
UUAAGCGACUAAGCGUACACGGUGGAUGCCCUGGCAGUCAGAGGCGAUGAAGGACGUGCUAAUCUGCGAUAAGCGUCGGUAAGGUGAUAUGAACCGUUAUAACCGGCGAUUUCCGAAUGGGGAAACCCAGUGUGAUUCGUCACACUAUCAUUAACUGAAUCCAUAGGUUAAUGAGGCGAACCGGGGGAACUGAAACAUCUAAGUACCCCGAGGAAAAGAAAUCAACCGAGAUUCCCCCAGUAGCGGCGAGCGAACGGGGAGCAGCCCAGAGCCUGAAUCAGUGUGUGUGUUAGUGGAAGCGUCUGGAAAGGCGCGCGAUACAGGGUGACAGCCCCGUACACAAAAAUGCACAUGCUGUGAGCUCGAUGAGUAGGGCGGGACACGUGGUAUCCUGUCUGAAUAUGGGGGGACCAUCCUCCAAGGCUAAAUACUCCUGACUGACCGAUAGUGAACCAGUACCGUGAGGGAAAGGCGAAAAGAACCCCGGCGAGGGGAGUGAAAAAGAACCUGAAACCGUGUACGUACAAGCAGUGGGAGCACGCUUCGGCGUGUGACUGCGUACCUUUUGUAUAAUGGGUCAGCGACUUAUAUUCUGUAGCAAGGUUAACCGAAUAGGGGAGCCGAAGGGAAACCGAGUCUUAACUGGGCGUUAAGUUGCAGGGUAUAGACCCGAAACCCGGUGAUCUAGCCAUGGGCAGGUUGAAGGUUGGGUAACACUAACUGGAGGACCGAACCGACUAAUGUUGAAAAAUUAGCGGAUGACUUGUGGCUGGGGGUGAAAGGCCAAUCAAACCGGGAGAUAGCUGGUUCUCCCCGAAAGCUAUUUAGGUAGCGCCUCGUGAAUUCAUCUCCGGGGUAGAGCACUGUUUCGGCAAGGGGGUCAUCCCGACUUACCAACCCGAUGCAAACUGCGAAUACCGGAGAAUGUUAUCACGGGAGACACACGGCGGGUGCUAACGUCCGUCGUGAAGAGGGAAACAACCCAGACCGCCAGCUAAGGUCCCAAAGUCAUGGUUAAGUGGGAAACGAUGUGGGAAGGCCCAGACAGCCAGGAUGUUGGCUUAGAAGCAGCCAUCAUUUAAAGAAAGCGUAAUAGCUCACUGGUCGAGUCGGCCUGCGCGGAAGAUGUAACGGGGCUAAACCAUGCACCGAAGCUGCGGCAGCGACACUAUGUGUUGUUGGGUAGGGGAGCGUUCUGUAAGCCUGUGAAGGUGUACUGUGAGGUAUGCUGGAGGUAUCAGAAGUGCGAAUGCUGACAUAAGUAACGAUAAAGCGGGUGAAAAGCCCGCUCGCCGGAAGACCAAGGGUUCCUGUCCAACGUUAAUCGGGGCAGGGUGAGUCGACCCCUAAGGCGAGGCCGAAAGGCGUAGUCGAUGGGAAACAGGUUAAUAUUCCUGUACUUGGUGUUACUGCGAAGGGGGGACGGAGAAGGCUAUGUUGGCCGGGCGACGGUUGUCCCGGUUUAAGCGUGUAGGCUGGUUUUCCAGGCAAAUCCGGAAAAUCAAGGCUGAGGCGUGAUGACGAGGCACUACGGUGCUGAAGCAACAAAUGCCCUGCUUCCAGGAAAAGCCUCUAAGCAUCAGGUAACAUCAAAUCGUACCCCAAACCGACACAGGUGGUCAGGUAGAGAAUACCAAGGCGCUUGAGAGAACUCGGGUGAAGGAACUAGGCAAAAUGGUGCCGUAACUUCGGGAGAAGGCACGCUGAUAUGUAGGUGAAGCGACUUGCUCGUGGAGCUGAAAUCAGUCGAAGAUACCAGCUGGCUGCAACUGUUUAUUAAAAACACAGCACUGUGCAAACACGAAAGUGGACGUAUACGGUGUGACGCCUGCCCGGUGCCGGAAGGUUAAUUGAUGGGGUUAGCGGUAACGCGAAGCUCUUGAUCGAAGCCCCGGUAAACGGCGGCCGUAACUAUAACGGUCCUAAGGUAGCGAAAUUCCUUGUCGGGUAAGUUCCGACCUGCACGAAUGGCGUAAUGAUGGCCAGGCUGUCUCCACCCGAGACUCAGUGAAAUUGAACUCGCUGUGAAGAUGCAGUGUACCCGCGGCAAGACGGAAAGACCCCGUGAACCUUUACUAUAGCUUGACACUGAACAUUGAGCCUUGAUGUGUAGGAUAGGUGGGAGGCUUUGAAGUGUGGACGCCAGUCUGCAUGGAGCCGACCUUGAAAUACCACCCUUUAAUGUUUGAUGUUCUAACGUUGACCCGUGAUCCGGGUUGCGGACAGUGUCUGGUGGGUAGUUUGACUGGGGCGGUCUCCUCCUAAAGAGUAACGGAGGAGCACGAAGGUUGGCUAAUCCUGGUCGGACAUCAGGAGGUUAGUGCAAUGGCAUAAGCCAGCUUGACUGCGAGCGUGACGGCGCGAGCAGGUGCGAAAGCAGGUCAUAGUGAUCCGGUGGUUCUGAAUGGAAGGGCCAUCGCUCAACGGAUAAAAGGUACUCCGGGGAUAACAGGCUGAUACCGCCCAAGAGUUCAUAUCGACGGCGGUGUUUGGCACCUCGAUGUCGGCUCAUCACAUCCUGGGGCUGAAGUAGGUCCCAAGGGUAUGGCUGUUCGCCAUUUAAAGUGGUACGCGAGCUGGGUUUAGAACGUCGUGAGACAGUUCGGUCCCUAUCUGCCGUGGGCGCUGGAGAACUGAGGGGGGCUGCUCCUAGUACGAGAGGACCGGAGUGGACGCAUCACUGGUGUUCGGGUUGUCAUGCCAAUGGCACUGCCCGGUAGCUAAAUGCGGAAGAGAUAAGUGCUGAAAGCAUCUAAGCACGAAACUUGCCCCGAGAUGAGUUCUCCCUGACUCCUUGAGAGUCCUGAAGGAACGUUGAAGACGACGACGUUGAUAGGCCGGGUGUGUAAGCGCAGCGAUGCGUUGAGCUAACCGGUACUAAUGAACCGUGAGGCUUAACCU